AUUUUUCGACUCGACACGAGGCAGAUCCUAGCUAAGUAAGUUUCAAAACUACAUGCCCUGGGCUUCCAGCCAAUUCUGUUUCUUGGACAGUUUGACCGUAAGGGCCGUAUAGUAGGGGACGUGAUCACUCACAUCGAACCAGCGGAAGGUGCUGCACGUGACAUCCUCAUGAAGAUGAGGAAACUUUAUGAACACCUUCUGAGAAAAUUACAAGCUUCACCUCCUGCUAAAAGUUCUACACCAGCAGCUGGACCAUCCUCUGCUGACAGUGUCGAUGCUGGACCAGUCCCAGACCCAGAGGCUCUAAACGAGGAAUUUAUUUUGCAUUUAAAGCCGGAACCAACAUCUUCCCUCUGUCAGCCUCCUGUGUCCUACUCUUCAUCUCUGCUUCCUCCUGCAUCCUCCUCUCCAUCUCUGCUUUCUCCUGCAUCCUCCUCUCCAUCUCCGCUUCCUCCUGCAUCCUCCUCUCCAUCUCCGCUUCCUUCUGCAUCCUCCUCUUCAUCUCCGCUUCCUGCAUUUCCCUCAAUUUCUACGGCGUACACCUUGGAUGUCCCAAACAAAAAAAGGACAAGGAAAGAAUGCCAAAAACACCGUACACAAAAGAUUUUCAAAUAUGAACAGAUAGUAGAGAGGAGAGUUGUAAAUGAAAAAGAAGUUAAAGUCAAGUGGAAGCCCUGCUCGAUAUGGUAUGUAGUAACAACUUUGUUGGACGGGAACAGACAUUCAUAUUGAUGAUAAAUAGUUAUCACCACAGUUUGAAUUCAUGUAUUUGGACUAAAGUAAAUUGGGAGCUUUUAGCUUUUAUCUGAGGAGCUUGAUAGCAGUCCACCUCCAAAGUUCAUUAAGAGAUUUGGAGGUGGACAUGGUCAACACUUUUAAAGGUGAUCAAGUAUUCAAGGAUGAAUGGAGAUUUUCAUUGUGGACUGCAUGAGAG
ensembl:lncRNA